rnacentral:rRNA from 1 species
GACGAACGCUGGCGGCGUGCUUAACACAUGCAAGUCGAACGAAGUGGCGAACGGGUGAGUAACGCGUAAUCAACCUGCCCUUCAGAGGGGGACAACAGUUGGAAACGACUGCUAAUACCGCAUACUGAAGGAGGGGAUUGCGUCUGAUUAGCUAGUUGGAGGGGUAACGGCCCACCAAGGCGAUGAUCAGUAGCCGGUCUGAUGGGGUGAACGGCCCCAUUGGAGCUGAGAGACGGCCCGAGCUCCUACGGGAGGCAGCAGUGGGUAAUCUUCCGCAAUGAACGAAGGUGUGACGGAGCAACGCCGCGUGAGUGAUGACGGCCUUCGGGUUGUAAAGCUCUGUUAAUCGGGACGCGUUACCGGAAUAGAAGGCCACGGCAAACUACGUGCCAGCAGCCGGGGUAAUA